rnacentral:rRNA from 1 species
GAUGAACGCUGGCGGCGUGCCUAAUACAUGCAAGUCGAGCGAAUGGAUUAAGAGCUUGCUCUUAUGAAGUUAGCGGCGGACGGGUGAGUAACACGUGAGUAACCUGCCCAUAAGACUGGGAUAACUCCGGGAAACCGGGGCUAAUACCGGAUAACGUUUUGAACCGCAUGGGUCGAAAUUGGAAGGCGGCUUCGGCUGUCACUUAUGGAUGGCCCCGCGUCGCAUUAGCUAGUUGGUGAGGUAACGGCUCACCAAGGCAACGAUGCGUAGCCGACCUGAGAGGGUGAUCGGCCACACUGGGACUGAGACACGGCCCAGACUCCUACGGGAGGCAGCAGUAGGGAAUCUUCCGCAAUGGACGAAAGUCUGACGGAGCAACGCCGCGUGAGUGACGAAGGCUUUCGGGUCGUAAAACUCUGUUGUUAGGGAAGAACAAGUGCUAGUUGAAUAAGCUGGCACCUUGACGGUACCUAACCAGAAAGCCACGGCUAACUACGUGCCAGCCGCCGCGGUAA